rnacentral:rRNA from 1 species
UACGUAGGGCGCAAGCGUUGUCCGGAAUUAUUGGGCGUAAAGAGCUCGUAGGCGGCUUGGCAAGUCGGGUGUGAAAACUUCAGGCUCAACCUGGAGAUGCCACUCGAUACUGCUAUGGCUAGAGUCCGGUAGGGGACCACGGAAUUCCUGGUGUAGCGGUGAAAUGCGCAGAUAUCAGGAGGAACACCGGUGGCGAAGGCGGUGGUCUGGGCCGGCACUGACGCUGAGGAGCGAAAGCGUGGGGAGCGAACAGG